rnacentral:rRNA from 1 species
ACUCCUACGGGAGGCAGCAGUGGGGAAUUUUGGACAAUGGGGGAAACCCUGAUCCAGCCAUCCCGCGUGAGUGAAGAAGGCCUUCGGGUUGUAAAGCUCUUUCGAAAGUGAAGAAAACUUAUUUCGUAAUAUGUUAUAAGUAUGACGGUAACUUUAGAAGAAGCACCGGCUAACUACGUGCCAGCAGCCGCGGUAAUACGUAGGGGUGCGAGCGUUAAUCGGAAUUACUGGGCGUAAAGCGUGCGCAGGCGGUUUUGUAAGUCAGAUGUGAAAUCCCCGAGCUUAACUUGGGGAACUGCGUUUGAAACUACAAGACUAGAGUGUGUCAGGAGGGGGUAGAAUUCCACGUGUAGCAGUGAAAUGCGUAGAGAUGUGGAGGAAUACCAAUGGCGAAGGCACGCCCCUGGGAUAACACUGACGCUCAUGCACGAAAGCGUGGGGAGCGAACAGGAUUAGAUACCCUUGUAGCACAGAG